rnacentral:rRNA from 1 species
GCUUUACACAUGCAAGUCGAGGCAGCACGGGGCAACCUGGUGCGAGUGGCGAACGGGUGAGUAAUACAUCGGAACGUGCCCAAUCGUGGGGGAUACGUAGCGAAAGUUACGCUAAUACCGCAUACGAUCUACGGAUGAAAGCGGGGGAUCGCAAGACCUCGCGCGAAUGGAGCGGCCGAUGUCAGAUUAGGUAGUUGGUGGGGUAAAGGCUCACCAAGCCAACGAUCUGUAGCUGGUCUGAGAGGACGACCAGCCACACUGGAACUGAGACACGGUCCAGACUCCUACGGGAGGCAGCAGUGGGGAAUUUUGGACAAUGGGCGCAAGCCUGAUCCAGCCAUUCCGCGUGCAGGAUGAAGGCCUUCGGGUUGUAAACUGCUUUUGUACGGAACGAAACGGCGAGCUCUAAUACAGUUUGCUAAUAACGGUACCGUAAGAAUAAGCACCGGCUAACUACGUG